rnacentral:rRNA from 1 species
GACGAACGCUGGCGGCGUGCUUAACACAUGCAAGUCGAACGAUGAUUCUGGAGCUUGCUCCAGUUGAUUAGUGGCGAACGGGUGAGUAACACGUUAGCAAUCUGCCCUUGACUCUGGGAUAAAUGCGGGAAACUGUAGCUAAUACCGGAUACUUUCACCGGAAGGCAUCUUCUGGUGAUGAAAGAAUUUCGGUCAGGGAUGAGCUCGCGUCCUAUCCGCUUGUUGGUGAGGUAACGGCUCACCAAGGCGACGCCGGGUAACCGGUCUGAGAGGGUGACCGGUCACACUGGGACUGAGACACGGCCCAGACUCCUACGGGAGGCAGCAGUGGGGAAUAUUGCACAAUGGGCGCAAGCCUGAUGCAGCAACGCCGCGUGAGGGAUGAAGGCCUUCGGGUUGUAAACCUCUUUUAGCAGGGAAGAAGCGAAAGUGACGGUACCUGCAGAAAAAGCACCGGCUAACUACGUGCCAGCCGCCGCCGUAA